rnacentral:rRNA from 1 species
CCUACGGGGGGCAGCAGUGGGGAAUAUUGGACAAUGGGGGGAACCCUGAUCCAGCCAUGCCGCGUGUGUGAAGAAGGCCCUCGGGUUGUAAAGCACUUUCAGUGAGGAAGAACGCCUGGUGGUUAAUACCCAUCAGGAAAGACAUCACUCACAGAAGAAGCACCGGCUAACUCCGUGCCAGCAGCCGCGGUAAUACGGAGGGUGCGGGCGUUAAUCGGAAUUACUGGGCGUAAAGCGCGCGUAGGUGGCUUGAUAAGCCGGUUGUGAAAGCCCCGGGCUCAACCUGGGAACGGCAUCCGGAACUGUCAAGCUAGAGUGCAGGAGAGGAAGGUAGAAUUCCCGGUGUAGCGGUGAAAUGCGUAGAGAUCGGGAGGAAUACCAGUGGCGAAGGCGGCCUUCUGGACUGACACUGACACUGAGGUGCGAAAGCGUGGGUAGCAAACAGGAUUAGAUACCCUGGUAGUC